AAAAAACAGGCCGACUCGUGGGUGACAUUACAAGGAAAGGACACUGCGAAAAAUUUGAUACGAAAAUUGAGUCAUUCAGUUUGGAACUCAUGCACAGAAACUGUAAGAUAUAUAGCAAAGGGCUCUUUCGAAUAGAUUUUUCAUUGUUGUACGCGUCAAUUGCUACUAUGACGAACUAUUUGAUUGUUUCUGUUCAGAUAUCAGGAUGAAAAAAAAAUUAAUGAAUUGAUAUCACAUGGAGAACAUAAUAAGAACGCUGAAAGAGACAGACACUGUGUGGACUG